rnacentral:sRNA from 1 species
CCGCCCGGAGCCGGGAGCGCCGCUCCAGCGAGGCGCGGGCUGUGGGGCCGUUGCGUGCCUGGCCCCGCUCGCCCGUGCCGGCCGCUCGCCCGCCAUGCCUGGCUUCGACUACAAGUUCCUGGAGAAGCCCAAGCGACGGCUGCUGUGCCCACUGUGCGGGAAGCCCAUGCGCGAGCCUGUGCAGGUUUCCACCUGCGGCCACCGUUUCUGCGAUACCUGCCUGCAGGAGUUCCUCAGUGAAGGAGUCUUCAAGUGCCCUGAGGACCAGCUUCCUCUGGACUAUGCCAAGAUCUACCCAGACCCGGAGCUGGAAGUACAAGUAUUGGGCCUGCCUAUCCGCUGCAUCCACAGUGAGGAGGGCUGCCGCUGGAGUGGGCCACUACGUCAUCUACAGGUGAGGCUCUGAUGUGAGGGCUGGCACCACCUCUCCCUUGGCAGGCACUAAUUGCAGCCUUCCCACCAGGGCCACCUGAAUACCUGCAGCUUCAAUGUCAUUCCCUGCCCUAAUCGCUGCCCCAUGAAGCUGAGCCGCCGUGAUCUACCUGCACACUUGCAGCAUGACUGCCCCAAGCGGCGCCUCAAGUGCGAGUUUUGUGGCUGUGACUUCAGUGGGGAGGCCUAUGAGAGCCAUGAGGGUAUGUGCCCCCAGGAGAGUGUCUACUGUGAGAAUAAGUGUGGUGCCCGCAUGAUGCGGCGGCUGCUGGCCCAGCAUGCCACCUCUGAGUGCCCCAAGCGCACUCAGCCCUGCACCUACUGCACUAAGGAGUUCGUCUUUGACACCAUCCAG